CAAUAGCGUAUAUUAAAGUUGUUGCAGUUAAAAAGCUCGUAGUUGAAUUUCUGGUGGGCGCGCCGGUCUUCCAAGUGUUGUACUGGGCGCAGUCCGCCAUCCUUGUGGAGAGGGCUCGCAUUGAGUUGCGUGUCGGAUCUGCAUCAUUUACUGUGAAAAAAUUAGAGUGUUUAAAGCAGGCUGUCGCUUGAAUACAUUAGCAUGGAAUAAUAAGAUAGGACUUCGGUCUAUUUUGUUGGUUGCGAACCGAGGUAAUGAUUAAUAGGGAUAGUUGGGGGUAUUCAUAUUUAAUUGUCAGAGGUGAAAUUCUUGGAUUUAUGAAAGAUGAACAACUGCGAAAGCAUUUACCGAGGAUGUUUUCAUUAA
rnacentral:rRNA from 1 species